UACGUAGGUGGCAAGCGUUAUCCGGAAUUAUUGGGCGUAAAGCGCGCGCAGGCGGUCCUUUAAGUCUGAUGUGAAAGCCCACGGCUCAACCGUGGAGGGUCAUUGGAAACUGGCGGGCUUGAGUACGAAAGAGGGGAGCGGAAUUCCCAGUGUAGAGGUGAAAUUCGUAGAUAUUGGGAGGAACACCGGUGGCGAAAGCGGCUCCCUGGUCCGAUACUGACGCUCAUGUGCGAAAGCGUGGGGAGCAAACAGG
rnacentral:rRNA from 1 species